CAUCGAUGAAGAACGCAGCGAAAUGCGAUAAGUAAUGUGAAUUGCAGAAUUCAGUGAAUCAUCGAAUCUUUGAACGCACAUUGCGCCCCUUGGUAUUCCGGGGGGCAUGCCUGUUCGAGCGUCAUUUCAACCCUCAAGCUUAGCUUGGUAUUGAGUC
rnacentral:rRNA from 1 species